CUUGGAUGCCCUAUAAAGGCUCAGGCUGGCAUGACUCCUAAAUUAAUAAUGUAUUUAGCUGUGGGAAGAGGUCUUUGAGAUCGAGGGCCCGGAGGAGGUGGCCCUCUGAAUGUCAAGCCCCGCCCAACACUGACUGGCGUUUCUCUCAAGCCCAGAGACCCGGCACGAGCGGAUCCCAAAAUGGUGAUGAAACUGGCACCUGGCCCAACAACCAGUUUGAUACAGAGAUGCUGCAAGCCAUGAUCUUGGCCUCUGCCAGCGAAGCUGCUGAUGGGAGCUCUACCCUGGGAGGGGGCGCUGGCACCAUGGGUCUGAGCGCUCGAUACGGACCCCAGUUUACCCUGCAGCACGUGCCUGACUACCGCCAGAACGUGUACAUCCCUGGCAGCAAUGCCACGCUGACCAAUGCCGCUGGCAAACGAGAUGGCAAGGCUCCAGCAGGUGGUAAUGGCAACAAGAAGAAAUCGGGCAAGAAAGAGAAGAAGUAAUAUGGAGGCCAGGCCUUGAACCACAAGGCAGCCUCCCUCCCCAGCCAGUCCAGCUCGUCCUUACUUUGUACCCAGGCCUCAGAAUUUCAGGGCUCACCCCAGGAUACUGGUAGGAGCCAGGGCCAUGCUCCCCGUUGGGAAACAGAAACACGUGCCCAAGCCAACACCCCCUCUCUAUACCCUAGGGAGUUGAAUAUGCAAAGAGAGUUUUGCUGGGACCCCCCCUAUUCAAUCAGUGAUUGUACCCACAUGGGU
ensembl:processed_transcript Gm38182 predicted gene, 38182